GUCAUUUCACAUCUGCAUAAAAAGACAUGCUGAAGGAUGUUCCUUGCAGAAUGGUUAUAGAGAAAAAUGGGAAUAACCACGAUAUAAAGUAACAGGCCAAGGGAUGAAAACAGUUACCAUUCAGAAGAUGGCUGUCCAGGGCAUCGGCUUCACUGCAUCAGAAUAUGAUGUAAACAACUGCUAAACCUCAACUGUGUUGAGUCACUGAGAACCAGGGAAUUACGUUUUAGUGGUUAGCGCUGCUUAUUCUUCUGAUGUACUGGCCCU
rnacentral:lncRNA from 1 species